GCCUGGCUGGCUCAGUCAGUAGAGCAUGCGAGUCUUGAUCUCAGGGUCGCGAGUUCAAGCCCCACGUUGGGCA
rnacentral:tRNA from 1 species